rnacentral:lncRNA from 1 species
GAAAGGAUGUUUCAGGUCAAAGGAAAGAAGCCUUUUUGUGUGCAGGUGUGCUGCUGAAGUGACCAGGAGUUCUGCUGUAGCAGGGUACCAAGAAGCUAUGAUGAUAGAAAACUGCUGGCAGCUUGUACAACUAUGCAGGAAUAAUUCAUGAAGAAGCAAGGGGAUCUAUUACACUGAGAUGAAGUCAUCAACCACUAUAUUCUUUCAAGCCAUGCAUUUUCUCGGCUACUCUUGCAGUCUCAUCCAUCGAGGUUCCAGUGAAGUGAAUGUUGUGAAGAAUCAGUGGCCAAGUCCAUUCCGAUGGAUCUUCUGCAAGUGGAACAAUCAAGUCAGGAGUGAUGACAUGGAAAUAAUGGUAUUUCAAGCACUGCAAGGACUGCUUAGGAGUAGCAUGUUUCUGACCUAUAAGGGGAAGCAGGAAGUUGCACAAGAAAAAGCAAGCAUUGAUAUUAUGUUUGCUAUGAAGAUAGGAUUGUACCUCCUAUCCUCCUAGUCUAGAGCUAUAAAAGCUAUAGACUGCUCUGGCUGAGGGUGUGCAUCAUCCUGUGCAGCACAGUCAUCGAGGCAGAAUCACAACACUUGCACCUUGUACCCUGCAGCUAUUUUAAACAUGAAUAAAAAUUUCAUGUUGAGUGCCA